GCCUCUGUAGCAUAGCGGUUAUUGCGCUCCCUUAGUAAGGGAGAGGUCGUUGGUUCGAAUCCGACCUGAGGCU
rnacentral:tRNA from 1 species